rnacentral:rRNA from 1 species
UACGGAGGGUGCAAACGUUGCUCGGAAUCAUUGGGCGUAAAGCGCACGUAGGCGGCUCGUUAAGUCGGAUGUGAAAGCCCUGGGCUCAACCCAGGAAGUGCAUACGAAACUGGCGAGCUUGAAUAUGGAAGAGGGUCGCGGAAUUCCCGGUGUAGAGGUGAAAUUCGUAGAUAUCGGGAGGAACACCAGUGGCGAAGGCGGCGACCUGGGCCAAUAUUGACGCUGAGGUGCGAAAGCG